GAAGACUCAGUGCGACACAGAACAAAGGAUGUUGAACUUGAGGUCAUGCCCUUCACUGCCUGGCUUGACCUUGAGAGGGAGUGGUGGCAUGCAGAAGAGACAGAACACAACUGCCGAAUUCACUGGCUCCUGUGACUUUGGGCAUCCUCUUAAGUUGUAUAAAUUCCAAGCCCUGCCAUGCCUGGCUUCUCUCUUUGAGAGCAACACACAUGUGGGAGACAAGAACAUCUGUAUCAUCCAGGAAGGCUUCUUGGUGGUGUCUCUUGUAAUGAAACAUAAGCAAGAGAAGGAUUUUAGCUCUCCAUAGGAGUGGAGCUGGUGAGUGGAGGUGGUACGGGCAAAGGGAACAGGUCACGUGAAGCACAGAGAGGACUAACAUGUCCCAGCUUCCUCAGGAAGAAAUGAUGCUGUUCUCUGAGGUUGUAUUUAGAAGCUCUUCCCUGCAACAGAGUAGAGAAUGGCUUGGAAUUAGGGUCAUCAAUCCCCUGGCUUAGCCACUAUUCUCCCAGCUUUAGUGUUGAAAGCUCUGGCCACUCAGAAACCUAUACCUCAGGAAAAGAAGGACAAUGGAUGGCCCUACCUGGGGAAAUCACCAGAGCCAAGACCUCAGAAGUCAUCUCAGCUACCUCUCCAGAGAUCCAGAUGCUUUCUGCAUCCAGUUGUGCACCACUAUGAUGUCGUAUUGUCAUUCCAGACUCGAUGUGUUUAAAACCUCAGGACCUUCGUAAAAGUGAGAACUGUGCGACUUGCUUUGUCUCCGUGUGCAUCCAUCCAAAUCUUGUGUGCUCAGUGAGGCCUUCAUCAAAACCCUUUGUAUAACAGGACCCCAGCCCUAAUGUGCCUUCUUGCUAAACUUGCUUUGGCUUUGUUCUGAGCACUUACCAUCACCCA